rnacentral:lncRNA from 1 species
CUCCCUGAAAACCCCAUGGCCGCCGCUUGAACGCCCCAGGUUCACGGCCGACACAUCAUCGACUGACCUGUACCACUGGCGGCUGGCCUGAGACCGCCGUCCCAACCGUCGAUGAGCCGACGAUGGCCCGAUCUUGGUCGGAGAUCGACGGAGAAGGAGCCCAAAAUCGGCGCUCCUUCCCUCGAAAAAUUCGGUCGGCUGCCGUCGGAAAAGCUCAGAUCAACGGACCGUCGCCGUCUCCAAUGUCUCCAACCCCUUUGUGCCUCUGAUUAAAGAGAGGGAACCUUCGGUUUGCUAGAUCCGACGGUUCAUCCUUCAUGCCGUUCGUCUCCAAAAGAAAACCCCAGUCAGCGACCGUCGGAAAAGGCCUGAUCGGCCGGCCGCUGCCUAAGCUUUUUCUCUGACCACUCUUUAUGCCGGUGCUUGAGAGGAUAACCAUCGGUGAAUUGGAUCCGGCGGCUUUCCCUUUUUUUUUUUUUUNUUUUUUUUUAAAAUUUUUUAAUGUUGUCGUUGUUUUACUGUCUGGUGGCUGUCAAGAAAAGGUCACCGGAAAAGGGGAAAACCAGCGGCCAGGCGUGGGUGGCCGAAGGACAUGGACCAGAGGCCAGAGAAGGCCCUCGGCCUUCUUCUUCC